rnacentral:rRNA from 1 species
AGCAGCCGCGGUAAUUCCAGCUCCAAUAGCGUAUAUUAAAGUUGUUGCAGUUAAAAAGCUCGUAGUUGAAUUUCGGGACCAAUAUGUCGGUCGUACUUUGUACGUACUAGCAUUAUUGGUUUCUCCCUUCUGAAGAACCACGAUGUCAUUAAUUUGGUGUCGUGGGGAAUCAGGACUGUUACUUUGAAAAAAUUAGAGUGUUUAGAGCAGGCUCGCGCUUGAAUACAUUAGCAUGGAAUAAUGAAAUAGGACGUUUGAUUCUAUUUUGUUGGUUUCUAGGAUCGACGUAAUGAUUAAUAGGGAUAGUUGGGGGCAUUAGUAUUCAAUUGUCAGAGGUGAAAUUCUUGGAUUUAUUGAAGACUAACUACUGCGAAAGCAUUUGCCAAGGAUGUUUUCAUUAAUCAAGAACGAAAGUUAGGGAUCGAAGACGAUCAGAUACCGUCGUAGUCU